UGUUUUGUUUUUCUGAAGAGACAGAUUCUGAGACUGUGCCGGAGACCUUAGCUGUGGAAGAAAGUGACAGUGUGCCAGGCUCACAUGAAAAAAGAGAACCAAUAGAGGACACCAGGACACUUGCUGAGCCUGAGGAAUAUUCAGGGUCAUCCGGUGGGCAAAAAGCCCAGACUGCUGGACACUGUGACCCGAGCAAGUACUACAUCCUAGUAGGGACAGUAGCAGCCUCAGCUUUGCUUCUGCUUGGGGCAGUGUCUGGCUAUCUAGUCAUGCAUCAGCUGCUGAAGAGAGACAGGAGGAGCCAGGAGGACAAAGAGGCAACAGGACAGGACUGGGACUCUUCCUGGGAAAGCUGUGGUCAGCCUAGAGGUGAAGCAGAGUCAGGAGAAGGAGCGG